rnacentral:lncRNA from 1 species
CUACUACAAGGAGCAGAAGGUGCUGGUGGAAGGGGCCGCUAACAACCUGCGCGAGAGCCUCAUGCAGUUCAGCAAGCCGCGCAAGCUGGUCAACACCAUCAACCCGGGGGCCCGCUUCAUGACAACUGCCAUGUACGACGCCCGGGAAGCCAUCAUCCCAGGGUCCGUGUACGACCGCAGCAGCCAGGGCCGGCCCUCAAACAUGUACUUCCAGACCCACGACCAGAUCGGCAUGAUCAGCGCCGGCCCAAGCCACGUGGCCGCCAUGAACAUUCCCAUCCCCUUCAACCUGGUCAUGCCGCCCAUGCCGCCGCCCGGCUACUUCGGACAGGCCAACGGGCCGGCAGCAGGUGAGCGCCAGCCACGCCGCACCUCGCCCCAUGCGGCCCUGCCCUGCCUUUCGGGUCGUUGGACUUCUUGCUCUCUUUCAGGCCGGGGUGCCCCGAAAAGCAAGACCAGUCGUGGGGCGCGCCAGAAGAACCGCUUCGGGCUCCCCGGGCCCAGCCAGACCCCCCUCCCCAGCAGCCAGGCCAGCCAGGACGUGGCAUCGCAGCCCUUCUCGCAGGGCGCGCUGACGCAGGGCUACAUCUCCAUGAGCCAGCCCUCCCAGAUGAGCCAGCCCGGCCUCUCCCAGCCCGAGCUGUCCCAGGACAGCUACCUGGGUGAUGAGUUUAAAUCCCAGAUCGAUGUGGCGCUGUCCCAAGACUCCACGUACCAGGGAGAGCGGGCGUACCAGCACGGCGGGGUGACAGGGCUGUCCCAGUACUAGAAGGCAAGCGUCCUGUGCCUGCCCCCGGGAGGAGUCAGGAGCCGCGGCAGGGGCCCUGGACACGUGGGCCAGCAGUGGUGGGGCCCCUGGGCCCCUGCCUGCUGGGCUCGGUGCCCCCUCUGGCAGCGUGCGGGUCAGGGAGGUGCCGCGGUGCCCUGGGCCUGCCCCUGCGGCUGCUGUCCGUCCCGUCCCAUCCCAUCCCACAGGUGGUGGCGGAAGAGCUAAGCUCCGUGGCUUAGUGCAUCAGCAUCUUAUUCUGGGUAAUAAAAAAUAAAAAUAAAUGGAUACCUGUUUUCCACUGCUAAAACUGAAGCACCACUGUGUGAGCAACAGGAGAGGGAGAGGAGCAGCCGAGGGAGAGGAGCCAAGCAGCGAGCGCCCCUGUGGGCACGCGGCGACGGCAGCGGCGCAGGAGAAGGAGAAGGGAGAGCGGGAGGUGGCAGCCGCAGGAGCCUGUCAGGCCCUGCCCAGCCCGUCACCUGGAGGCGCAGCCCGCCCGCCCGCCGCGCACACCUGGGCCCGCGACCAGGCGGAGGGAGAAGACCCUCAUCUCAGAGUAGCCCUUUCUCUGUUUUUGUUUCUUUCUUUUCUCUUUUAUUGAAAGGGGACUACGUUUUAGCAGGAAAAAACUUCGCAUUUCUGUGCCCUAGCAGGCUCCUGGCGGUGGCCAUGCCAGCCGGGCCCGAGGAGCAUGGCUCCUGGACUGCCCAGGUCCCCUGGCCUGCGUUCUGAGGGGGUUCAUUGAAAGAAAAUACGGUGUUUGGGGUUUUUCUGUUUGUUUUUUUAAAGAUUUUUCAAAGAAGUACUGAAAACUACUUUUCUAAGUUUGUGUCUAAGAUCUUAGUGGUGGACCUGGGAGUCGUGAGCAGCUUCCAGAAACGAGGCGUCAACAGGCAGCACCUGGAGCCGGAGCAACGCCGACCGUGGUCUCAGGAGGAUGGUGGAGGUCUCGCUUCAGGGCCUUCACGCUGAGGGCAGCAACCAGCCCAGAGGCCCAAGUCUGCCUCCGAGGACUGAGGAGAUCGGCUGCCCCGCGCCGCCCGCCAUGGACUGGCCGGGCCCUGGCCGCCGCUCGGAAGGUGCUCAGCCCACUGCACCCUCAGCCAGGGCAGGUGCCGAUGCCGGGCCAGUGGGUUUAUCCCUUAGGAAGUGGUGGAAGGUGGCCGCCAGAGGGCUGGCCCCAUCCCCGCAGGCACCAGUCCUGUGCUGGCCACGUGCUCGCGCCUGGCAGCCCAGCGCCUGCUGGCCCGGCUUGCCAACUGAGGGUUUGUGCUGGGGCGGCUCUGCCGAGGGGCCCGGAGCAGUCGCGCCUCUGGACAGACGCAGGGCAGAGGUGCAGAGGCAGCGAGGGUGAGAGCUGCUCCCUGCACGGGGUCCUCUUCCCCAGGCCCCGGCCCCGGCCUCCCCUUCGUGCACAGGGACGCGCCGGUCGCCUGCUAUGGGCAAGGACGCUGCCAUCCGCAGGCUUGUGGUUCCCUUUCGAAGGCCGCCGGAGGCAGCCCGGCUAGGCCCCACCGUUCCCGCCCGCUUUGCCUCCGCUUGUACCCUUGCUUUGCCCUCCACCUUCCCGGCGGCAGUCACCCUUUCACCAGUCGACAAGCAUCCGUACCAAGGCAACGUAACUUGGUUUUUGGUCAAUUUGUUUUAAGCUCUUUUGUCACCAAUAAAAUCUUAAUAAACAGUUCCUGCCUUUCCAUGAGGCUGGCAUGACUGUGUGGAGAGCGAGGGCAUGGGUGGGCCGGCGGGUGGAGCGGAGUGGGGACGGGCAGGAGCAGGGGAUGCUGCCUCGGCAGGCACCGCAGACCGCUGAGGCCCGGGCCCUCCCCGCGCCAGG